GGAGAACCAAGACUAUCGUCAAGAAGACAACCGAACCUCCCUCCAAGACGACGACGAAGAAGAAGAGCAAAGGCAAAGCUGUAGCCAAAGAGUCAUCUGUCGUUGGCGAGUCUCGUGUUGUUGAAGAGCAGUCAUAGGAUGACGAAUAUGAGAGCCAGGAUGAAGAUGUCGAGAAGGCAAGUUACACACCUAAACGCCAUACUCGAAGCCAUUUUGGAGACCUAGUGUCCGGCUUACCUGAAACAGCAACUGGUCAAAACGACAAAGCGAGGUUUCACCUCCUUCGUCUGGCGACUCUCCCCCCGAUG